rnacentral:rRNA from 1 species
UAAGGAAUAUUGCUCAAUGGGAGAAAUCCUGAAGCAGCAACGCCGCGUGGAGGAUGAAGGGUCUAUGACUUGUAAACUCCUGUAAAGAAGGAAAAAAUUCCCAUUUGAUGGGAGAUGAUGGUACUUCUGGAGUAAGCCCCGGCUAACUACGUGCCAGCAGCCGCGGUAAUACGUAGGGGGCAAGCGUUGUCCGGAUUUACUGGGUGUAAAGGGUGCUCAGGCGGAUUUGUAAGUCAGAGGUGAAAUCUUACAGCUUAACUGUGAAACUGCCUUUGAUACUGCAAGCCUAGAGUAUGGAAGAGAGUGAUGGAAUAUCUGGUGAAGCAGUGAAAUGCGUAGAUAUCAGAUAGAACACCAAUGGCGAAGGCAGUCACUUGGUCCAUUACUGACGCUAAAGCACGAAAGCGUGGGUAGCAAACA